UUAAGCGACUAAGCGUACACGGUGGAUGCCCUGGCAGUCAGAGGCGAUGAAGGGCGUGCUAAUCUGCGAUAAGCGCCGGUAAGGUGAUAUGAACCGUUAUAACCGGCGAUACCCGAAUGGGGAAACCCAGUGUGACUCGUCACACUAUCAUUAACUGAAUCCAUAGGUUAAUGAGGCGAACCGGGGGAACUGAAACAUCUAAGUACCCCGAGGAAAAGAAAUCAACCGAGAUUCCCCCAGUAGCGGCGAGCGAACGGGGAGGAGCCCAGAGCCUGAAUCAGCAUGUGUGUUAGUGGAAGCGUCUGGAAAGGCGCGCGAUACAGGGUGACAGCCCCGUACACAAAAGCGCAUGUGCUGUGAGCUCGAUGAGUAGGGCGGGACACGUGGUAUCCUGUCUGAAUAUGGGGGGACCAUCCUCCAAGGCUAAAUACUCCUGACUGACCGAUAGUGAACCAGUACCGUGAGGGAAAGGCGAAAAGAACCCCGGCGAGGGGAGUGAAAAAGAACCUGAAACCGUGUACGUACAAGCAGUGGGAGCNNGUGACUGCGUACCUUUUGUAUAAUGGGUCAGCGACUUAUAUUCUGUAGCAAGGUUAACCGAAUAGGGGAGCCGGAGGGAAACCGAGUCUUAAUUGGGCGUUAAGUUGCAGGGUAUAGACCCGAAACCCGGUGAUCUAGCCAUGGGCAGGUUGAAGGUUGGGUAACACUAACUGGAGGACCGAACCGACUAAUGUUGAAAAAUUAGCGGAUGACCUGUGGCUGGGGGUGAAAGGCCAAUCAAACCGGGAGAUAGCUGGUUCUCCCCGAAAGCUAUUUAGGUAGCGCCUCGUGAAUUCAUCUCCGGGGGUAGAGCACUGUUUCGGCUAGGGGGCCAUCCCGGCUUACCAACCCGAUGCAAACUGCGAAUACCGGAGAAUGUUAUCACGGGAGACACACGGCGGGUGCUAACGUCCGUCGUGAAGAGGGAAACAACCCAGACCGCCAGCUAAGGUCCCAAAGUCAUGGUUAAGUGGGAAACGAUGUGGGAAGGCCCAGACAGCCAGGAUGUUGGCUUAGAAGCAGCCAUCAUUUAAAGAAAGCGUAAUAGCUCACUGGUCGAGUCGGCCUGCGCGGAAGAUGUAACGGGGCUAAACCAUGCACCGAAGCUGCGGCAGCGAACGUAUCACUUAAAGCGAUUCAGCGGGUUACGAUUGACGGAGCGAAGCGACGUCAAAGCGUAUACAAAGUCGAGUCGGUUUAAGGAUACGUUCGUUGGGUAGGGGAGCGUUCUGUAAGCCUGUGAAGGUGUGUCGUGAGGCAUGCUGGAGGUAUCAGAAGUGCGAAUGCUGACAUAAGUAACGAUAAAGCGGGUGAAAAGCCCGCUCGCCGGAAGACCAAGGGUUCCUGUCCAACGUUAAUCGGGGCAGGGUGAGUCGACCCCUAAGGCGAGGCCGAAAGGCGUAGUCGAUGGGAAACGGGUUAAUAUUCCCGUACUUGGUGUUACUGCGAAGGGGGGACGGAGAAGGCUAUGUUGGCCGGGCGACGGUUGUCCCGGUUUAAGCGUGUAGGUGUGUGUUCCAGGUAAAUCCGGUUCACUUUAACACUGAGGCGUGAUGACGAGGCACUACGGUGCUGAAGCAACAAAUGCCCUGCUUCCAGGAAAAGCCUCUAAGCAUCAGGUAACAUCAAAUCGUACCCCAAACCGACACAGGUGGUCAGGUAGAGAAUACCAAGGCGCUUGAGAGAACUCGGGUGAAGGAACUAGGCAAAAUGGUGCCGUAACUUCGGGAGAAGGCACGCUGACACGUAGGUGAAGUGAUUUACUCAUGGAGCUGAAGUCAGUCGAAGAUACCAGCUGGCUGCAACUGUUUAUUAAAAACACAGCACUGUGCAAACACGAAAGUGGACGUAUACGGUGUGACGCCUGCCCGGUGCCGGAAGGUUAAUUGAUGGGGUCAGCGCAAGCGAAGCUCCUGAUCGAAGCCCCGGUAAACGGCGGCCGUAACUAUAACGGUCCUAAGGUAGCGAAAUUCCUUGUCGGGUAAGUUCCGACCUGCACGAAUGGCGUAAUGAUGGCCAGGCUGUCUCCACCCGAGACUCAGUGAAAUUGAACUCGCUGUGAAGAUGCAGUGUACCCGCGGCAAGACGGAAAGACCCCGUGAACCUUUACUAUAGCUUGACACUGAACAUUGAGCCUUGAUGUGUAGGAUAGGUGGGAGGCUUUGAAGCGUGGACGCCAGUCUGCGUGGAGCCGACCUUGAAAUACCACCCUUUAAUGUUUGAUGUUCUAACGUGGACCCGUAAUCCGGGUUGCGGACAGUGUCUGGUGGGUAGUUUGACUGGGGCGGUCUCCUCCUAAAGAGUAACGGAGGAGCACGAAGGUUGGCUAAUCCUGGUCGGACAUCAGGAGGUUAGUGCAAUGGCAUAAGCCAGCUUGACUGCGAGCGUGACGGCGCGAGCAGGUGCGAAAGCAGGUCAUAGUGAUCCGGUGGUUCUGAAUGGAAGGGCCAUCGCUCAACGGAUAAAAGGUACUCCGGGGAUAACAGGCUGAUACCGCCCAAGAGUUCAUAUCGACGGCGGUGUUUGGCACCUCGAUGUCGGCUCAUCACAUCCUGGGGCUGAAGUAGGUCCCAAGGGUAUGGCUGUUCGCCAUUUAAAGUGGUACGCGAGCUGGGUUUAGAACGUCGUGAGACAGUUCGGUCCCUAUCUGCCGUGGGCGCUGGAGAACUGAGGGGGGCUGCUCCUAGUACGAGAGGACCGGAGUGGACGCAUCACUGGUGUUCGGGUUGUCAUGCCAAUGGCACUGCCCGGUAGCUAAAUGCGGAAGAGAUAAGUGCUGAAAGCAUCUAAGCACGAAACUUGCCCCGAGAUGAGUUCUCCCUGAGACUUAGAGUCUCCUGAAGGAACGUUGAAGACGACGACGUUGAUAGGCCGGGUGUGUAAGCGCAGCGAUGCGUUGAGCUAACCGGUACUAAUGAACCG
rnacentral:rRNA from 1 species